rnacentral:lncRNA from 1 species
ACCAAACAUAAGCACUAAUCUCCAACCUCAAUUGAUUGGUAGUUGGAGACUUUUAGCAGCUCAAUCCAAUGAUUCCUAAAACCUUCCAACUUUUUGGAGCCAUUUUGCUCCUCUUCUUGUUUCAGUUACCAAACAGAAUCCAAUCAAAACCAAGUGGAAAUCCUUUUGGGUUUAUCCAACACCUAGAGGGAUGCCACAAGGGUGAAUCUAUAAGUGGGCUCAAGGACCUUAAACGAUAUCUUGAGAAAUUUGGGUACUUGAAUUACGCCAAAAAAAGCAGAAACAACCAUGCAAAUGAUGAUGAGUUUGAUGAUCUUUUGGAGGCAGCAAUCAAGGAUUACCAACACUACUAUCACCUGCAAGCCACAGGAGUUUUAGACAAUAAUACAGUAUCUCAAAUGACGAAACCUAGAUGUGGGGUGCCAGAUGUUGUCAAAAAUGGCACAAACAAGCACUACCAUAAUCCCAAAUCCAUCCACUCAGUAGCCCAUUUCAGCUUCUUCCCUGGACCCCGAAGAUGGCCAGCAGAGAGAAGCCAUUUAAGAUACAGGUUUCGUUCCAGUGUGCAAGUCCCUGGAACUGGCAAUUUCAGGUCCAUAUGUGCACAAGCAUUUCAGAGAUGGGCACAAGUUACCCACUUCACAUUCGAGGAAGUUGAUGCUAAUUCUGAGGCAGAAAUCGAGAUUGGAUUUCACAGGAGGUUCCAUGGAGAUAGUGACCCCUUUGAUGGAAUAUCAGGGACUUUCGCACAUGCAACUGCACCAACUCAUGGAAGGUGCCAUUUUGAUGGAGAUGAGAUAUGGAGUGGAAAUCCUGGACCUAAUGAGUUGGACUUGGAAUCAGUUGCAGUGCAUGAAAUCGGGCACCUUCUAGGUCUAGACCAUAGUGAAGACCCAAAUGCUAUAAUGUAUUCUACCUUUGAUUAUGGGAUUACCAAAAGGGAUUUGGGUACUGAUGAUAUUCAAGGAAUUCGUACUCUGUAUGGAUUGCAGUAAUGAGUUCAUUAUUCUUAUUACAAUAAGAGCAACUGAGAUCCAAUAUGCUUUGGAGGGUUUAGUGCUACGUAGUUUGAAUAUAAUAUUUUUGAUAAUUCUCAUUUGUAUCACUAGGAAAUAUAUAAAUAAAAGAAAUCUCAUGGUUUUGUAAUUUCAAAUCCUUUUAAAACUAUAUGACUUCUUUAUAAAAUCUCUACACAAAGAUGUAAAAAAGAAAAAAAAAAAAAUCAAAUGUCUUAAUGAUCAGUAUUGAGUAUAAUUAAUUAAACUUGUAUAAUGCAUUAAUUUUAUUUCCAUUUGACUAUUAUUUUAAUUUUACAGUCCUUUUAAAUGAUAAAAUUACUUAUCUUACAAAUUAAAAUAUAUAAUUAAAAAAUAUAUAUGUAUUCCAUCUAUUUCAAUUUACCAACUUUAUUACAAGUGAAUGAAUACUUUUUUACGAAAUAAUCUUUUAAAAGCAAAUACUAUAAUUUUUAGAUUUAGUUAGUGGAAAGACAUAAUUAAAACAGAGAAAUCAAUAUUCAAUAUGUAGAAGGAUUUGAUUUAAAUUUUAGCAGAAGUCCCAAGAUUUUUUUAUGAUUUUUCAAUAUCGGGAACUAUAAGUAUUGAUUAAAAUGAUUUCUAAAAGUUAAUUUAUUUUUAAAUAUAUCUUUGACAAAUCCAACUAGAGAAAAAUUAUAACAAGAUUAGGGAUGGCAGGCGGGCGGGUUUUCAUGGGUAUCCGAUCCGCCCAAACCCUAUUAGGACGGAUUUGGUUUUUACAAAAUGGAUUUGGGCGAAUUCGGAUUUGAAAAAUUUUACCCGUCUCGGAUUCGGGUAGGGUUCGGGAUUAGGUAAUCGGAUACCCAUUACCCGAACCCGAUUAACUAUACUAACAAAACUAACCCUAAUCUCUAAUUUAUUUUUUUAUUUUACUCUUUCCUCUCUUCAUCUACAUCUCUCUCUCCCUCGCUUCCCUUCCCAUAGUUCUCAGCCACGCCCCUCCCCCACUUCACUGCCGGCAGCCCAGUCGUCACCGGCGACGUCUCCUUUCUCUCCCCAGUCGACGAUAAAUCUUCUCUUUCCUCCGUCAGCAAUAUCUCCUUCUCUCUCUCCAGCGGCGACAUCUCCGACUUUCCAGUUGAAGACAACUCUUCCCUGUGCCCGGUCGACGUCGGCGAUAUCUCCUUCUCUCUUCCUAGUCGGGUGAAAUCUACUCUUUUCAAUUUACGCUUCUCUCCCCGCACUUCACUGACGCUAGAGACAACCCUUCUCUCCUCAAUCGGCGACAUCUGCUUUGACUAGAACUCUCUUCAGGUUUCAAGAUCUUUUAUGUGUAUGUUCUUAAAGAAUUUUAUAAUUUAUAAACUAUUAAUCUGAUUAUUUGGAUAUAUUAAAAAAUCUAAUUAUUUGCUAUUUGAUUAAUGUAAUACUGUUGAUUUUUAAAAUUUAUGGACAAUUAUCUAAUUAUUUGAUUAUAAAUCAAUAUUUGUUGGGUUGCUGAGUUGCUGGUUCUUGUCAUUGAACAUUUCUCCUCCUACUGAAUUGUGCAACUGUUAGAUAGUUUAUUUGGUUUUGUCAUUGAAUGAAAUUAAAAAAAUUAUUUGCUGAGUUGCUGGUUUGUAUCGAGUUCGGGUAUUGUGCGGGUAUUGUUAAACGGGUUUGGAACGGGUUCGGAUAGUAAAAUUAAAAUAUUAAACGAGUUUGGGACGGGUUCGGGAAUUGUAUAUAUAAUCGGGUUUGGGUUUGGGUACUCUCAAUUUCGCGGGUACCCUACCCAUUUACAUCCCUAAACAAGAUAAGUAUCGAUUAAAAUGAUUUCUAAAAGUUAAUUUAUUUUUAAAUAUAUCUUUAACAAAUCCAUCUAGAGAAAAAUUAUAACAAGAUAAUUCUUCAAUAAUAAAUUUGCCAUACAAACAUAGGUUUUUCUAUUUCAAAGUUACUUAGUUCUUCUCUAUAAAAUGUGAAUUACCUUAUGCACUAUAAAAAAACCUUCGGAUUAUCCACAGAUUUUAUCAACGAAUUUUAAUCUGUUAAUAAUUUUAAUAAAUUUAAAAAUUAAUUAGUAAUUUUUAUAUAAUUUAUAUGUAUUAUUAAAAAAAUUUAAAAAUGAGUGGUAAUUUAUAAAUAAUUAAAAUAAUCGGUGAUGAAAUUUCCUAACGAAUUUAAAACCUAUUAGUAAAUUCUUUGAUAAUUUACUAAUAAAUUUCAAUAUGUCAGUAAAUCUAAAAAAAUAUUUAAAUUAAUAACAAAUUAUAAAUCUAUUACUAAUAUAUUUAAAAAAUCAUUAUCGAAUUUAAAAAUUUAUUAUUAAAUUUUAUUAUUAUAUUAAUAAAUUAAAAAAAUAUUAAAUUUAUCGAUGUUAUCCAUUAGUAAAUCAUUGAUAAAUUUAAAAUGAAAUCAGAUGUAAAAUUUUUACUUUUUCUUUAGAUUUAUAGUUGUCGGUUAAUGACGAAUUUCAAAUCCGUCGAGAAAAAAUCUAAUUUCUUUUUUUGUAAAAUUUAGUAACGAAUUAUGAAUCCAUUACUAAUUCAUAUUUAUAAAUAUAACACUAUCUCUUUUUCUUUUAUUACUCAUUCAUUUUAUCAUUUUUUUUUAUUUUUUUUCCCUUUCUCUCAUUUUUUUUCUUUUUCUAUUAUUUUCUUUUUCACUUUAUUAUUUCAUAAUUUUUUUUAUUUUUUCUAUUAUUUUCUUUUCUAUCUCUUAUAUUUUUUUUCUCUCAUUCUCUUUUCUCUUUUAUUAUUUUUUUCAUUUUUUUCUCAUAAUUUUCUUUUAGCUUUCUCCAUUAUUUUUCCAUCAUUUUCUUCCCUUUACCUCUCAUUUUCUUCAUUUUCUAUAUAAUUCAUUCAUAUUGCCCUUAUUUGAAAUGUCAAAUUUUGAAAGAAUUCGAAAAAUAAAUAAAUUCCUUUAUUAAAUUUUUGUGUUUGGUACAAUCAAUAAUAUAAAAUUUUAAUUUUCUUGAUUUUCGUGAGAAUUGAUUUUGAAUUAAAAGUAAAUUUUGCCAAAAUUAUUGAAUUUUUACAAAAAAAAAAUUUUAUUUAAAGUUACAUCAAAAUUACUUAAUUAGCCAUUGAAUUUUUUUUUUAAAUUUAAUUUUAAAUUUAUUUCUUAUUUUUAAUUAAUAAUUACUCUUUAUAAAAAUUAUUUUAAUUUAAUAGUAACUAUUAAUAUUUAAUGCAUUUAUAAUUAAUAUUAACAAAUUUAUUAUAUUAUUUUAUUAAUUUUAAAAAUAUUUUUUAUAUUUUAAUGGUAAAAAAUUACGUAAAAUUCAAACUUUAAAUAUUAAUAAUGAUUGUGAUAAAAAUGAAUGUUAUUUAUAAAAAUAAAUAUUUAUAUUUGUUUAAAAAUAAUAAGAAUAUAAAUGAAUUAAAUUAAAUUAAAUUUUAUUAUUAAUUUGUCUAACAUAAAUGAGUUAAAUUGAAUUCUAUUAUAUUUAAAUUGAUUCUAAAUAAAUGAAUUUUUUCAGAAAUAAAUUGAAUUUUUUAAUGAAUUGCAUACCAAAUAAGGGCAUUAAUUACUCUCAUAUUAUAUUCUUUUAUCAUUUUUCUUCUAUCAAUAUUUCUUUCUAUUAUUCUCUUUUUUUUUAUUUUCUUGUAUAAUUAUUUGUCCCUUUUUUUUCAUUUCUCUAAUCAUUAUUUUACUCUAUAUUCAUUCUUCCUUCUUUUUUCAUAAUUUUUAUUUUUUUAUUAUUUUCUUUUUUUAUCAUUUUCUCUUCAUCUAUAUUAUUUAUUUUUCUCUUAUUUUUAUUUUUAUGUAUUUCUAAUAAAUAUUGAAUAUAAAUUAAGAAUUUAGUAACAAUAAUAAUAUAAUUUUAAAUUUUAUUGAAGUAAUAAAAAAUAAUAUUAAUAAUAAAAUUUAUUAUUUAAUUAAAAUAAUAAUUAUUUUUAAAUUAUUUAAAUUUUUAAUAUGAAUUUAGUGACAAAUUGCAAUCUGUUAUUAAUUUAUUAAUGGAUUUAUCAACAGUAUCUGUUAAUAAAAUAUUUUUCUUUCAAUUUAUUAAUAAAUUUAAAAUUCAUUAGUAAUAAUAACAGAAAUUUCACUGAUAAAUAUGUUAAUAUUUUUUAAUAGACUUAAAAACUAUUGGUAAAAAUUUAUCGACGAAUUUUUUCAUAACGGAUUGUAAUCCAUUAGUAAUCAUUAUAAACGAAUUACUAAUAAAUUUUAAUUAAUUAGAUUAUUAACGAAAAAAUUCAUUGAUAAUGCAAAAAUUUCUUAACAAUCAUUUGACUGUUAUCUUAAUUUUACAGUCUCUUAAAUGAUAAAAGUGAUAGGAUGCAAAUUCUGCCUAUUUAGUAUAUGUUUUAAUAUAUUUAAUUUGAUUUGAUUUUGCUAAAUUAUGAAUAUUUUUUUCCCUUUUAUAAUAUUAGCCAAUUUUAUUCAUUCUAGAAAGAAAAAUUCUAUUUUAAAAGUUUAGACAAGAAUCAGAAUUGGAGUCCUAAAUCUAGCCUUGAACAUGUCUUAUACUGUGAGCACAACUUAUAUGAGUUAACUUAUAGUGAGAAGUGAAUGGAGUCAUGAAAUAAAUCUUAGGCAUGCUUCAUAUAAAGGUCACACAUAGAAUUUAUUGAAAAGCAAGUAAAGCUAUAGAGUAAACCUUGGGCUAAGCAUGCACAGACUUAUGCAAUGUCACAGAAUUUUCAUAUCUAAUUCUCUAUUAAAUUGUAAAAAUCAAUUUAGGAAGAAAUGAUUUUACAAAGAAAUGACACUUUUAGAUUGUUACUUCUAGAUUUUCUUUUAUUUCUCUUUAGUUUAGGAUUACUCUCGUUUAAAAAAUGGAAGGUUCUUUGAAUGGGAGAACUUUUGAAACUCAUGAUGCUUUACUUUUUUGCUUUUAUGAUUAGUUCUUUGAAUGGAAAAAUGGAAGAUUCUUUGAAUUAAAAAAACACAUAAAAAAAUAUUCACACAAGUGUAAUCAAACUGAACUGAACUGAUUUUUGUAAAAUUUAGAUUCAUUUAUUAAAAAAUUUUAAAAAUUCGACCUCGAGCUGGUUUAAACUCAAUUCGAAAAUUAAAUACUAUAAUCGAGUUCAGUUCACACUCGACUCAUAAAAAACUCGUUUAGUAUAAUAACGAAUCUAAUAACUUGACUCAUAAAAAACUCAUUUAGUAUAAUAAUGAGUCUAAUUUCAACUUUAAUAUGAAAAUUUGAAUUAAAAAAUUUAAAUUCGAAAAAUUCAAUUAAAAAACUCCAACUCGAAAAAUUCUAAAACAAUUUGAUGAUUUAUUUUUAAUUGUAAUCAAUUAAAUUAAAAGUUAAAACAAUAUAUUAUCAUUUAAUUCACAUCAGAUCAACUUACCUUGCGUCCAUCUAAAGAUACUAAUUAAUUAAUUAGUUAGAAGACCUUCUAGAGUGUCAAUAGCAAUAAUGCCGAUGAAAUAGGAUCUCCACACUUGCUUUUCGUUGUUUAUAAAGGAAUUUAAUAAGAAUGUUUUUAAAGUGUUGAUUUGAUUUGUCCGCAUAAAUUGAGGGAAAAAGAACAAAAAAGGAAAGGACGAAGCAAUUCAUAUAUAUAAUAACAAGUUUUUCCAAAAAGAGAAAACACGAUAUUUUUUCCUAAAUCUAAACUAAAAACAGACUUUAAAAAAAAAAAAAAACUGUAUGCAUGUUUCUCCAAAAUUUAACAAGGAUUCGAGUAUGUGUCUCCAAAAUUUAGUAGAAAAUUUUGAAUAUGCAAAUUAACAAUUUAUUUGAGUGUAUAAAUAAUUUGGAUUGAACAAAUAAUUUUCUCAAUUUCCUCAUUUUUUAGGAAGGCUUUGUAGUGCGUCAAGGGCAGUGGGUUCCAAGCAACUAAAUAAUUAGAUUGACUUCCCACUUGCUUUUCCUUUUUGGCAACGGGAAAAUAAGACCACUUAAUGAGAAUUACUAGGAAAUGAUAAACAUCAAUAAAUAAAUAAUUCAAGAGGAAGACUAGGUAGACUAUUCUUCUGAUGGCCAGAAAUUUUCAUAUACUUUAACAUAGAAAUUAAGAAUUUUCCUUCAGUCUAAAUUAACCCCUUGUCGAAGGCAAGACUUUUAUAAGUCUUUCUAAGUAAACAUAUAUAGAAACUAAGCACUAUAAAUAGAUACAGAAACUCCAUUCAUUCCCACCAAACAUAAGCACUAAUCUCCAACCUCAAUUGAUUGGUAGUUGGAGACUUUUAGCAGCUCAAUCCAAUGAUUCCUAAAACCUUCCAACUUUUUGGAGCCAUUUUGCUCCUCUUCUUGUUUCAGUUACCAAACAGAAUCCAAUCAAAACCAAGUGGAAAUCCUUUUGGGUUUAUCCAACACCUAGAGGGAUGCCACAAGGGUGAAUCUAUAAGUGGGCUCAAGGACCUUAAACGAUAUCUUGAGAAAUUUGGGUACUUGAAUUACGCCGAAAAAAGCAGAAACAACCAUGCAAAUGAUGAUGAGUUUGAUGAUCUUUUGGAGGCAGCAAUCAAGGAUUACCAACACUACUAUCACCUGCAAGCCACAGGAGUUUUAGACAAUAAUACAGUAUCUCAAAUGACGAAACCUAGAUGUGGGGUGCCAGAUGUUGUAAAAAAUGGCACAAACAAGCACUACCAUAAUCCCAAAUCCAUCCACUCAGUAGCCCAUUUCAGCUUCUUCCCUGGACCCCGAAGAUGGCCAGCUGAGAGAAGCCAUUUAAGAUACAGGUUUCGUUCCAGUGUGCAAGUCCCUGGAACUGGAAACUUCAGGUCUAUAUGUGCACAAGCUUUUCAGAGAUGGGCACAAGUUACCCACUUCACAUUCGAGGAAGUUGAUGCUAAUUCUGAGGCAGAAAUCGAGAUUGGAUUUCACAGGAGGUUCCAUGGAGAUGGGAACCCUUUUGAUGGAAUAUCAGGGACUUUAGCACAUGCAUUUGCACCAACUAAUGGAAGGUGCCAUUUUGAUGGAGAUGAGAUAUGGAGUGCAAAUCCUGGACCUAAUGAGGUGGACUUGGAAUCAGUUGCAGUGCAUGAAAUAGGGCAUCUUCUGGGUCUUGACCACAGUGAGGAUCGAAAUGCUAUAAUGUAUUCUACCUUUGAUUAUGGGAUUACCAAAAGGGAAUUGGGUACUGAUGAUAUUCAAGGAAUUCGUACUCUGUAUGGAUUGCAGUAAUAGUUGCAUUAUUUUAUUGUAAUAAGAGCAAUUGAGAUCCAAUAUGCUUUGGAGGCUUAGUGCUAUAUUGUUCGAAUGUAAUAUUUCUAAUAUUUUUCCCUUAUAUCACCGGUUAAAAGAAUCACAUGGCUGCUUAAAGGUUUUAUGAUAUAGGACUAAUUAGAUUUCGUCAAGAGUUUUAACUGAUAAUAUUUUAAUGGAUUUAUUAAUGGAUCUUAUAUUUAUUAGUAAAUUAUUUUUCUUUUAAUUUACUAUAAAUCUAAAAUCCGUUAAUAAUAAUAACGGAAAUUCCAUUAGUAAAUAUGUUUAUAUUUACUAAUAGAUUUAAAAAUCGUUGACAAGCUUUUUAAUAAGGGAUUGUAAUCCGUUGGUAAACAAAUUAUCAAUGGAUUUUUAUUAGAUUACCAAUGAAAAAAUUUGUUGGUAAUGCAGAAGUUUCUUGUAGUGAGAUUCACCAUUAUCUUAAUUUUAUAAUUUCUUAAAUAAUAAAAGUGAUAGGAUGCAAAUUCUGCCUAUUUAAUAUAUAUUUUAACGUAUUUAAUUUGAUUUGAUUCUGUUAAAUUAUAGUUAUUUCUUUUCCUUUUGUAGUAUUGACAGAUUUUAUUCAUUCUGAAAAGAAAAGUUUUAUUUUGAAUGUUUAGACAAGAAUUAGAAUUGGAGUCGUAAAGCUAGUCUUGAGUACGUCUCACACACAGUGAGCACAACUUACAUUAAAUGACUUAUACGGAGCAAUGAAUAGAGUCAUGAAAUAAAUCUUAGGCACGCUUCAAAUCAUGGUCGCAAAUAGAAUUCAUUGAGAAGCAAAUAAAACCAUAGAGUAAACCUUGGACUAAGCGUACACAGAUUUGUAGCAUAACUUAUGCAAUAUCACGGGAUUUUCAUAUCUAAUUCUUUAUUAAAUUGCAGAAACCAGUUUAUGAAGAAUUGAUUUUAGAAAGAAAAAAAACUUUUAGAUGGUUACUUCUAGAUUUUUUUUAUUUCUCUUAAGAAAAGUUCUUUGAAGUGAGAACUUUUGAAACUUCUUAUACUUUACCUUUUUGCUUUUAUAAUUGGUUGCGACAUGAGUUACGGUGGCAAAUCUUUUUUAUCUAGUUAGGGAACUUUCGAGGUGUAUCCUUCUUAUUUUUAGUUUUUAUAUUAUCCCUUUGUUCUUUAGAAUUUUAUUUAUUUAAUUGAUGUAAUAUAUCCAAUUGCUCAAUUGAGUAAAUAGCAUAUAAUCAUUUAAAUUCAUUUAGUCUCUUCUUAUUUCUAGUUUCUAUAUUAUUCUUUUAUUCUUUAGAAUUUUAUUUAUUUAGUUGAUGUAAUCUAUCCAAUUGCUCAAUUGAGUAAAUAACAUAUAAUCAUUCAUAUUCAUUUAGUCAGUAAUUAUUUGUGAGUUUUAUAUUUGUGACAAACAAUAUUUUAUUGUGAAAUAAGAUAUUAUGAUUUCAUAGUUGCGCUGGUAUGACCUUCUUGGUUAGAAUCGGGUCUUUCUAAUUUUAAAUGCCGUUAUCAAAUUAAAUCUUAUUAAAUUUAUCAUAUAGUUUGUUUGUUGAUUAGGGGCUAAUUAGUAAACUGAUCCUUUUUAGUCUAUUAUCUAACGAAAAAUUAAAUUGUUAGAACGUGUCAAUAAUUAUAACUAGCUGACCAGAAAUUAAUUUAAAUAUUCUUGCAUCUAUGAUCAAUCUCGAAAAUUAACACCAAGAUACUCUCGAAAUUAAAUAUUUUUUAAAUCUAAUUAAUCUCUUUAAUUAUUUGCUUCUUAAUUAGUUUACUUUUACAUUCAAUUAAAUCUCUUUAAUCUAAAACCCCAUACUUUUAUAUUUUAUUUUACUUUAUUUUUAGAGUAAACUACAAUUUAGUCCCUCUAGUUUAGUGAAAUAUAACCUUUCAUCCCUCUGUUUUUAAAAAUCGUCAAUUUAGUUACUGUGAUUUUUAAAAAUUAUGCCAUUAGUCCCUCCCGUUAGAUUUUCAGUUAAGUCACCAUUAGUUUUAGUUAAAAGACUAAAAUACCCAUUCUCUCAUCCACCUCAUCAGUCUAUCAUGGAAUUGUGUCCUCUGUUGCCAUGGAUGUCUAGAGCUUCCACAAGAAAAACAAGGGUGUUAAGUUAACAGUGGCAAAGAAAUCUUACAGACAAUUAGUAAGAAAUUUUACAUGAUAAGACCAAAGAACUUGGUCUUGGAUCCCACUUUGGAUGUUCAGAUUUUGAAAUCAAAACAAAAUUUUUUUAAAUAAGCAACUGAUAAUCACAACAGAGGGACCAAUAGCAUAAUUUUUAAGAUAGAGGAUCUUGAAGAUGGAGGAGUACUCAUUUCGAAUCAUCCUAAAAAAAGCCCGAAUCGAGAGUUUUGCUUCGUGGGUUUGCAGAUAUGGAUGCUAGAACUCCAUUCUCUCACCCACAAUUCCAUCGACUGCAAUUCCAUGAUAGAAAAUAGCUGGAGAGAAUUGGAAAGAACCUUUGGAGAAAGAUCAUAGACAUUAGAACAGCGCAUGCUGAUUAACCUACGCAAGCAUUUGACUUCUGCGGCCACAUCGGCCGUGUUCAUCCGUACCUUCACCAUAUCUUCUCCCUAUUCAAAGAUCGCUCUUUAUCUCUGUGUCCUUGUGAAUGGAACUGGAGAAGAUAUCCGUAGCAAAAGGAGUUGUCUUUCGAUUUCAAAAUAUGGAGAAAGGUCUUCGCCUUGCUCGCUACCGCCUGGUGCCUGGAUAAUUUCCAGUUCCGACAUGCUUUGCGAUGUCGUUUUGUCCAUCAUCUUUGAAGAAUACACUUGCUGCAAAAUAUGUGAUCAAAAUCUGUAGCUUAAGUGUUCGGUAGAAGUAGGUGGCUUCAUUUAAUGUUUACUGUUACCAUUGCUUGAUCUGUUGCUUAAAACACUCUCUGCCACAAUUGUUGAUGAUGUUGUCUUGCUAGAGUUGUUUUCUAAAGAGUUUUGAAGAAACACAAUCCAUUGAUAGACUGAUGAGGUGGGUGAGAGAAUGGGUAUUUUAGUUUUUUAACUAAAACUAACGAUGACUUAACUGAAAAUCUAACGGGAGGGACUAAUGGCAUAAUUUUUAAAAAUCACAAUGACUAAAUUGAUGAUUUUUUAAAACAGAGGGACGAAAUGUUAAAUUGCACUAAACUAGAGGGACUAAAUUGUAGUUUACCCUUAUUUUUAUCAAGGAAUAAAAUUAAACAGUAAUUUUUGAAUUUAAUCCUACUCACUAUAUUUAUAAUUAUUUAUAAUAAGAGCAUGAUUUAUUUUUAUUGGAUUCGACACCUAUUAAAAAUUAUUUUAAAAUAACUUAUUUUACAAAUCAAAAUACAUAAUUAUAAAAUAAUAUAUGAAUAUAUUCCUCUUAUUUUGAUUAACAAAAUUUAUUAUAAAAUCAUGAUUUAUGCAUUCAAGGUUCAAUGUACACAAUAAUAAACACUUCUUUUACAAAUUAAUAUUUCAAAAAUAAAUACUAUAGUUUUUAAAUUUAUUUAAUAAAAAAACAUAAUUAAGUCAGAAGAAUGGAUUUUAAAAGAAGCUUUUAUACGUGUAAAAGUUGAGAAAAUUACAAAACCUAAUACAAAUAAAUCAAUACGAAGAUGGAUGAUUUGGUUGCUCCAUUUACAAACUGAUCUUUUAUUAAUAAAUUAUUUAAAAUUAUAAUACAUGGUAUAUAAAUUAAAAACUAUAGAUAAUAAUUAAAUUGGUUAUAAUAUUUAUUAUUAUAUAAUAAAAAUUAUAUACAUAUAAAAAAUAAUUAUAUUUUCAAUUAUAUUAUAUAUGUUAUAUAAUAAAUUAAUAUUUUUAUAUUUAUUUUAUUAACAUAGUAAAUUAAUAAUAUCGUCAUUAGUCAUUUUAUAUGUCUAGACAUAGUAUACAAAAGCAGGCUUAGCCUGGUGGAAAGUGCAUCCUGUAGCCUUGAAAGGUCUAAGGUUUGACUCCUCCAACCCCUAUUUCAAAAAAAAAAAAAAAGACAUAAUAUACAAAACACAUAAGGUAUAUCAGUUAAAAUUAAUUACCAGCGAUAAACUAUCAAUAACUAUUAUCAAUUAUAUUUAACAGGUAAAUAAAACAUUUUUUAAUUUGAUAGUGAUUAUUCUCUGAUUAGCUUUCAGUUUACACUGCACUAUCAAUUGCAAUUUAUUCCUUUUGAAUUAAUAUAUUUUUUUAAUUCAAAUAAAAUUAAGCUCCUAAUUUUUUUUAAGCAAUGAGUUAUGCCAAUGCAUUCAAUUUGUUUUUCCAUAUUACAAGACUAAUUAAAUUAAUUUAGUCAUCGUUGAAUUAAGCAAUUUAAGUUUUCCUAUAAUGAAAAAAAACUUACGAAAAACACUUAAAAAAAACAUUCAUCAGACAUAUAAUUGAAUCGAGUCGAAUUAAUUUUUAUAAAGCACACAUUUGUUUAUUAAAAAAUUUUGGAAACUCGACCUCAAACUGACUUCAACUCGAUUCAAAAAUUAAAUAUUAUAAUAGAAUUCGGUUCGAACUCGACACUUUAAAAACCCGUUUAAUAUAAUAAUGAGCCUAAUUUAACUCGUAAAAAAUUUAUUUAAUAUAAUAAUAAAUCUAAUUUAAAUUUAAAUUCGAGAAACUCAGAUUAAAAAGUUCGAGCUCGAAAAAUACUAAAAUAAUUGGAUGAUUUAUUUCUAGCUUUAAUCAAUUAAAUUAAAAGUUAAAACGAUAUACUAUUAUUUAAUUCACAUCAGAUCAACUUAUCUUGCAUCCAUCUAAAGAUAUCAAAUAAUUAAUUAGUUAGAAGACCUUCUAGAGUGUCAAUAACAAUAAUGCCUAUGAAAUAGUUUUCUCCCCACUUGCUUUUCAUUGUUUAUAAAGGAAUUUAAUAAGAAUGUCUUAAAAGUGUUGAUUUGAUUUGUCGACAUAAAUUGAGAAAAAAAAAAAAGAACUGGAAACGACGAAACAAUUCAUAUAUAUAAUAACAAGUUUUUCCAAAAAGAGAAAAGACAAUAUUUUCUCCUAAAUCUAAAGUAAAAACAGACUUAAAAAAAAAAAAAAGAAACUGUAUGUUUCUCCAAAAUUUAACAAUAAUUCGUGUAUGUGUCUCCAAAAUUUAAUAUAAAAUUUUGAAUAUGCAAAUUAACAAUUUAUUUGAGUGUAUCAAUAAUUUGGAUUGAACAAAUAAUUUUCUCAAUUUCCUCAUUUUUUAGGAAGGCUUUGUAGUGCGUCAAGGGCAGUGGGUUCCAAGCAACUAAAUAAUUAGAUUGACUUCCCACUUGCUUUUCCUUAUUGGCAACGGGAAAAUAAGACCACUUAAUGAGAUUAAUUACUAGGAAAUGAUAAACAUCAAUAAAUAAAUAAUUAAAGAGGAAGACUAGGUAGACUAUUCUUCUGAUGGCCAGAAAUUUUCAUAUACUUUAACAUAGAAAUUAAGCAUUUUCCCUGAGUCUAAAUUAACCCCUUGUUGAAGACAAGACUUUUAGAAGUCUUUCCUACUAAUCAUAUAUAGAAACUAAGCACUAUAAAUAGAUACAGAAACUCCAUUCAUUCCCACCAAGCAAAAGCACUAAUUUCCAACCUCAAUUGAUUGGUAGUCGGAGAAUUUUAGCAGUUCAAUCCAAUGAUUCCUAAAAACUUCCAACUUUUUGGAGCUAUUUUGCUCCUCUUCUUGUUUCAGUUACCAAACAGAAUCCAAUCAAAACCAAGCGGAAAUCCUUUUGGGUUUAUCCAACACCUAGAGGGAUGCCACAAGGGUGAAUCUAUAAGUGGGCUCAAGGACCUUAAACGAUAUCUUGAGAAAUUUGGGUACUUGAAUUACGCCAAAAGUAACAGCAACAACCAUGCAAAUGAUGAUGAGUUUGAUGAUCUUUUGGAGGCAGCAAUCAAGGAUUACCAACACUACUAUCAC